GCCCGGGUGGUCUAGUGGUAUGAUUCUCGCUUAGGGUUACAACCCAAGCAUAUCUGCGAGAGGUCCCGCGUUCGAUCCGCGGCUCGGGCC